GUAUCCUGGCUCAGGAUGAACGCUAGCUACAGGCUUAACACAUGCAAGUCGAGGGGCAGCAUGGUCUUAGCUUGCUAAGGCCGAUGGCGACCGGCGCACGGGUGAGUAACACGUAUCCAACCUGCCGUCUACUCUUGGACAGCCUUCUGAAAGGAAGAUUAAUACAAGAUGGCAUCAUGAGUCCGCAUGUUCACAUGAUUAAAGGUAUUCCGGUAGACGAUGGGGAUGG
rnacentral:rRNA from 1 species